AACGAACGUUGGCGGUGUGCCUAAUACAUGCAAGUCGAGCGAGAAAACGGGGGCAACUCCGUGAGUACAGCGGCGGAAGGGUGCGUAAUACAUGGUUAACGUACCCCCCAGUUCGGGAUAACCCUCCGAAAGGUGGGCUAAUACCGGGUAAUGGCAGCGGGUGGCAUCAUUUGCUGCUUAAAGACGCAAGUCGCUGGGGGAGCGGACCAUGGCCUAUCAGCUAGUUGGCGGGGUAACGGCCCACCAAGGCAAUGACGGGUAGCCGGACUGAGAGGUUGAACGGCCACACGGGAACUGAGACACGGUCCCGACAUCUACGGAUGGCAGCAGUAGGGAAUCUUGCGCAAUGGGCGAAAGCCUGACGCAGCGACACCGCGUGGGGGAUGAAGGCCUUCGGGUUGUAAACCCCUUUCAUGAGGGAAGAACACUGACCUAACCUCAGGAAGAAGCACCGGCUAACUCCGUGC
rnacentral:rRNA from 1 species